rnacentral:rRNA from 1 species
UACGAAGGUGGCAAGCGUUGUUCGGAAUCACUGGGCUUAAAGAGCACGUAGGCGGCCUCAUAAGCGCUUUGUGAAAUCCCUCGGCUCAACCGGGGAAUUGCUGGGCGAACUGUGAGGCUUGAGGCAAGUAGGGGUACAUGGAACUCUUGGUGGAGCGGUGAAAUGCGUAGAUAUCAAGAGGAACGCCGGUGGCGAAAGCGGUGUACUGGGCUUGUCCUGACGCUGAGGUGCGAAAGCUAGGGGAGCAAACGGG